UAGGGAAUCUUCCGCAAUGGACGCAAGUCUGACGGAGCAACGCCGCGUGAGUGAAGAAGGAUUUCGGUUCGUAAAACUCUGUUGUUAGAGAAGAACAGCGCAUAGAGUAACUGUUAUGCGUGUGACGGUAUCUAACCAGAAAGCCACGGCUAACUACGUGCCAGCAGCCGCGGUAAUACGUAGGUGGCAAGCGUUGUCCGGAUUUAUUGGGCGUAAAGCGAGCGCAGGCGGUCAAUUAAGUCUGAUGUGAAAGCCCCCGGCUCAACCGGGGAGGGUCAUGGGAAACUGGUUGACUUGAGUGCAGAAGAGGAGAGGGGAAUUCCAUGUGUAGCGGUGAAAUGCGUAGAUAUAUGGAGGAACACCAGUGGCGAAGGCGACUCUCUGGUCUGUAACUGACGCUGAGGCUCGAAAGCGUGGGUAGCAAACAGG
rnacentral:rRNA from 1 species